GGUAAAGCUUUUGCGGUUUGGGAUGGGCCUGCGUCCUAUCAGGUAGUUGGUGAGGUAAAUGCUCACCAAGCCUAUGACGGGUAGCUAGUCUGAGAGGAUGGUCAGCCAGACUGGGACUGCGACACGGCCCAGACUCCUACGGGAGGCAGCAACUAGGAAUUGUGCGCAAUGGACGAAAGUCUGACGCCGCGACAUCGCGUGGAGGAUGAAGGUCUUCGGAUUGUAAACUCCUUUUCUUACCGAACAAGUUCUGAGUGUAGGUAAGGAAUAAGUGCCUGCUAACCACGUGCCAGAAGCAUCGGUAAUACGUGGGGCACGAGCGUUAUCCGGAUUUACUGGGCGUAAAGAGAAGCGUAGGCGGCUCGAUAAGUUUGGUGUUAAAUCUUCCGGCUCAACCGGAAACAAGCACCGAAAACUAUCGAGAUUGAGUCGAGUAGGGAAGAGGGGAAUUCCUGGUGGAGCGGUUAAAUGCGUAGAUAUCAGGAGGAAUACCAAGGGCGAAGGCACCUCUUUGGACUCGUACUGACGCUGAGGCUCGAAAGCGUGGGCAGCAAAACGGAUUAGAUACCCGUGUAGUCCACGCCGUAAACGAUCCCUGUUAGAUGUAUGUUUUGUC
rnacentral:rRNA from 1 species